GCCUACGGGAGGCAGCAGUAGGGAAUCUUCCACAAUGGGCGAAAGCCUGAUGGAGCAACGCCGCGUGGGUGAAGAAGGUCUUCGGAUCGUAAAGCCCUGUUGUUAGAGAAGAAAGUGCGUGAGAGUAACUGUUCACGUUUCGACGGUAUCUAACCAGAAAGCCACGGCUAACUACGUGCCAGCAGCCGCGGUAAUACGUAGGUGGCAAGCGUUAUCCGGAUUUAUUGGGCGUAAAGGGAACGCAGGCGGUCUUUUAAGUCUGAUGUGAGAGCCUUCGGCUUAACCGGAGUAGUGCAUUGGAAACU
rnacentral:rRNA from 1 species